UACGCAGGGUGCGAGCGUUGUCCGGAAUUAUUGGGCGUAAAGAGCUUGUAGGCGGUUUGUCGCGUCUGCUGUGAAAAUCCGGGGCUCAACCCCGGACUUGCAGUGGGUACGGGCAGACUAGAGUGUGGUAGGGGAGACUGGAAUUCCUGGUGUAGCGGUGAAAUGCGCAGAUAUCAGGAGGAACACCGAUGGCGAAGGCAGGUCUCUGGGCCACUACUGACGCUGAGGAGCGAAAGCGUGGGGAGCGAACAGG
rnacentral:rRNA from 1 species